rnacentral:lncRNA from 1 species
AUGAAGGAGCCUGGACCCAACUUUGUUACUGUGAGAAAGGGUCUUCAUUCAUUCAAGAUGGCAUUUGUUAAGCACCUACUUCUCUUUCUGUCACCUAGGCUGGAGUGCAGUGGUUCAAUCACGGAUCACUGCAGCCUCCACCUCCCAGUUCAAGAAAUUCUCAUGUCUCAGCCUCCUGAGCAGCUAGGAUUACAGACAAACCUUGGAAAUCAAGAAAGUUCUGGAAUGAUGAAGCUGUUCAUGCCAAGACCGAAAGUGCUGGCCCAGUAUGAGUCCAUUCAGUUCAUGCCGUGACAAUUUUCUUGGAACUCCUUUUUAUUGUUAGUUCUCACUUGUUUCCAUAUUUAGUGAAUGUACAUUUAAUUGCAAAGCUGUCAUUAAUAAAAAUUCUUAUAGUACCUCA